CGCAGAAUGCUUUUCAUUUCGUGGCCUAGCCAGAGUGUUCAUAGAGAUAGUAUACCUCAGUGAGCCAGAGAGGUUUCAAACUUUAAUUUGGAUAGUAUUACGCACCUCAUAACAUAACUAGCUACAAACGUGAAACGACCCUUCAAAAAAGGAGGGGGAAAAAAGGAUACAGCUAAUUCAAUAACAUGGUAACCAUGGUGGACAGAGGAAGAACAAUGAUUCCAAGCACCACCCUCCUUUUGAAACUUCCAGUCUGUUAUUCAAACUCAAUCAGCAUGACAGAGUGAUCUCCAGCCUUGUCUUCGUCAACACUCACACCUGUGUUAACGAGAGAAUCACUGACAUGGUGAUUGUGAGGACAGUGCCAGCAUGUUUCUUCCCCACCACCCUGAUCCCGAACCUACAAAGUCACUGGCUCCUGAUUGUAACGGUGGAACUCUUGCACUGCUGCUGGAAGACUGCAUUAAUCUGCUGGGGCCAAAUGCAGAGUCUAUGAAACUGGAGGAGGAUUGUGAGGACAUUUCCAGCAUGUCUCUUCCCCACCAACCUGAGCCCAAUAUGCCCCUCAAGUGGGUAACAGUACUACUGGGAGACUGCAGGAAAUCACUGAGUCCUGGCUGUAACAGUGGAGCUCAGUGGACACUACUGCCUCUCAAGAGAGUUCGAGUACAGCUGGAGGACUGCAGAAAGAAGCUUGGGCCAAAUGCACAAUCUAUUCAAGUGGAGGUUGUUGAUAGCAGAGGAUCAUCUCAUCCAGCCCAAGACCCUCUUCCUCACACAGGUGUAAAGCCCAACCAACAUGGAGAGCUUGGAGAGAAUUCAUCUACAUCAACCGAACAUGGAGAGAUCUCUGCUCCAGGAGAGCUUGGCGGGAACUCAUCUGCAACAGAUCUUAAACUAAAGGAUGCCAACAAAACAAAAAGACCUCACCACUGCUCUCAGUGUGGUAAGAGUUUCAAAACAUCAAAUGAUCUAAAAGUACAUCAGAGAAUUCACACUGGAGAGAAGCCUUACCACUGCCCUUAUUGUGGGAAGGAUUUUGCUCAGCCUGGUUAUUUUAAUGUGCACCUGCGACAGCACACUGGAGAAAAGCCUUACCAAUGCUCUGAAUGUGAUCAAUGUUUUUCACGUCCUGACAGUUUUAAAUUACACCAAAAAGUUCACAUGAAAAUUCAUACUGAAAAGAAGCCUUAUUACUGCUCUGACUGUGGGAAGAAUUUCUCUCAGGCGAGUUACUUUAAGAUACACCAACGAAUUCACACUGGAGAAAAACCCUUCCACUGCUCUGGCUGCGAGAAGUGCUUUACUACAUCAGCUGAAUUGAAAUUGCAUGAGCGGGUACAUUCAGGAGUUAAACCUCACCACUGUGCUGACUGUGGGAAGAGUUUUUCUGUACUUUCUCGAUUACGAAGACAUCAACUUACACAUACUGGAGAAAAACCUUUCUCCUGUCAACAGUGUGGAAAAGGUUUCCCUGAGAAAUUUAGUUUACAAACACACCAGCAAAUACAUAUCGGAGAGAAGGCUUUUAACUGCUCUGACUGUGGGAAGAGUUUUACCUUAAAACGUUACUUAACAAUUCAUCAAAGAUCACACACUGGACAGAAACCGUACAAAUGCUCUGUCUGUGGGAAGGAAUUCGCACGAGGCAGCAACUUCAUAGCACACCAGCGAGUACAUACUGGAGACAAGCCAUACUCCUGCUCCUUUUGUGAGAAACGAUGCUAUACAUCAACUGAUCUAAAAAUUCAUCAGAGAAUGCACACAGGAGAGAAACCAUUCCCUUGCCCUGAUUGUGAAAAACGCUUCAGUGCAAAAGUUCAGCUAACAGCUCAUCAGAGAGUGCACACAGGCGAGUUGCCUUACUCAUGCUGUGAAUGUGGGAGGGGCUACCCACACCUGCAAAGUUUGAAGUACCACCGGGAAAAACAACACAAAUUGAAAAUCUCACCACUGAAGAAGACGACUAAGAAGAACACAAUGAAAUAACGUGCUACAUUUCUCAUUGUCAAUCCUAGCAAGACAUUGUUGAGUCGGUUGAUACUGGAAAGGGGCUUUGUAUCACAGUUAGUAGUGUGAACUGAGAUGUUCAGCAUUAGGAUCCCCUUCAUACACCAGAGAACACGCACUGGAGAAAACCCUUGAAAGGUGUCGUUAUGCGUUGAUUUAUUCUUUGCUAUUUAGGUGGCAGUGUACGACACAGGGCCAGUUUCCCAGAACUAGUCCCGGAUUAAGCUAUUUCAACAGAGAUUCUCCCGUUGCGCAAGAGGUGUGUGAAGAUGCUUAGGAAUCAUUUGUGCACUGAUUACAGACCAGUCAUGUGUAGCAGCAGGUUGCCCGCUAAAUCAUAUUUCGAUCGGUAAUGUAUUGAUCUUUGGUAUGUACAGCCCUGCCUCAUAUAAGCAGUUACUAACAAGAUUUUCCUCAAUAUGGACAUAGAAUAAGAUGUUUUUUUCCUGUGUUUUAAGCAUUCAAUGAAAAGAACAUCUUCCCUACAAUCAAAGAUGGGGAAGGUUUGAUAAUGCUGUGGGGUUGCUUUGCUGCCUCUGGUAUUGGGGGCCUUGAGGGUGCGCAAGGCAUCAUGAAAUCUGCAGGUUAUCAGGUGUUUUUGGAGUCCAAUGUUAAACCCAGUGUCCAAAAAAUGUGGUCUCCAUUGAAGGUUGAUGGUGUUCCAGCAGUACAACGACCCCAACAAAAACACACAAAGCACCCAGGAAUGGUUCAAGAAGAGACUGUUCUGGAGUGGCCAGCCAAGAUUCCUGAUCUGAAUCACAACGUAAACUAAAACCUAUGGUGAGAGUUGAAACAGAGGUUGCUGCAGGUUACCCUCAAACAUUGAAGAAUUAGAGCACUUUGCUACUAAAAAGUGGGCCAAACAUCCAGUUGAAAGGUGCAGCAAGCUCAUCGAUGGUUAUAAUAAGUGUUUGUCUGCAGUUAACUUUGCCAAAGGAUGUGCAACCAAGUAGCUCCAGGGUGUCGAUGCCAUUUAUCUUUUAUUUUCUCAAUUAAAAUUGUAAAUUGAACAAAAUUGGUUCUGCAAUGUUGAAAAUCCAGUAAGCUGUGGCCAAACAUUAUGGAGUUAUUUGAGUGCAGUGCAGUCAGAAAAGUGAUUUUCAUGUGUUUUAUAUAUAUUUAUAUAUAUUUCCACACUGAGGUUGGAAUAAUACUGAAAUUGUGAAAAUGAUAAUGCCCUUUUAGCGUAAGAGCUACUAAAAAGAAAAGACCGCCUGAAAUUUCAACCUGUUUUAAUGGGAUGGAGUUCUGGCCUCUGGUGACAUCACCAGGCAGUAAAUGGGUUAAUAGACCAAUAAGAAAUAGUUCCAAACCUCUCUGCCAAUAACAGCUUGUUUUCAGUUUUACACUCCCCACAAAGACCACUCCCAGACAGUCCUAGCAAAAUUCUUGCUUGAGAAAUGAGUCUUUGCUAUGAAACUAUUUUUGCUUGUUUUCAUUUAAAAUGCUCACAAAUAAUCACAGUAAGGUACUUAAUUGUUAUCUAGAAAUGUAAUAUUGAGAUAAAAACGGCUGCAAGGAUGCCAAUAUAUUUGUCUGAAACCGUGCUGUACAAUAUUCAAAUCCUGCUUUAUGUGCCCUCUUGACUCCUGAAAAUGUUAGUUAUUUUGCUGCUUACUGUGCCCCCCUCCCCCCAGUGAAAACAAUUUAAGAGAUUAACCAAUUGCAAUAUAAUCAAAGUAUUUGUAUACAAAUUGAUAAAACACGUUCACUUUUUAAUUAAAAAAGUCAUUUGUAUUUUA